GAUGAACGCUGGCGGCGUGCCUAAUACAUGCAAGUCGAGCGAACAGACGAGGAGCUUGCUCCUCUGACGUUAGCGGCGGACGGGUGAGUAACACGUGGAUAACCUACCUAUAAGACUGGGAUAACUUCGGGAAAUCGGAGCUAAUACCGGCUGAUAUAUUGAACCGCAUGGUUAAAUAGUGAAAGACGGCUUUGCUGUCACUUAUAGAUGGAUCCGCGCCGCAUUAGCUAGUUGGUAAGGUAACGGCUUACCAAGGCGACGAUGCGUAGCCGACCUGAGAGGGUGAUCGGCCACACUGGAACUGAGACACGGUCCAGACUCCUACGGGAGGCAGCAGUAGGGAAUCUUCCGCAAUGGGCGAAAGCCUGACGGAGCAACGCCGCGUGAGUGAUGAAGGUCUUCGGAUCGUAAAACUCUGUUAUUAGGGAAGAACAAAUGUGUAAGUAACUAUGCACGUCUUGACGGUACCUAAUCAGAAAGCCACGGCUAACUACGUG
rnacentral:rRNA from 1 species